GGACUUGUCUGUAAAGGCGCCUUCGGGUGUCGCGUCGAGAACGGCUCACUUCCCAUUAGCUUGUUGGUGGGGUAAUGGCCUACCAAGGCGACGAUGGGUAGGUGGCUUGAGAGGGUGGUCACCCACACUGGGACUGAGAUACGGCCCAGACUCCUACGGGAGGCAGCAGUCUAGAAGCUUCCACAAUGGACGAAAGUCAGAUGGAGCGACGCCGCGUGCGUGAUGAAGCCCUUCGGGGUGUAAAGCGCUGUCAGUAGGGAAGAAGGCUCGGGAGGUGUCCCUUCUCGGGUCCGACGGUACCUGCAGAGGAAGCGCCGGCUAACUCCGUGCCAGCAGCCGCGGUAAUACGGAGGGCGCAAGCGUUGUUCGGAUUCAUUGGGCGUAAAGGGCGCGUAGGCGGGCGAGCAAGUCCGGUGUGAAAUCUUCACCGCUCAACGGGAAGAUGCCAUUGGAUACUACUCGUCUUGAGGUCCUCAGAGGAAACCGGAAUUCCUGGUGUAAGCGGUGGAAUGCGUAGAUAUCAGGAAGAACACCGAUUGCGAAGGCGGGUAUCUGGGGUGUACCUGACGCUGAGGCGCGAAAGCCAGGGGGAGCGAAACGGGAUUUAGAUACCCCGGUAAGUCCUGGCCGUAAACGAUGAGCGCUAGGUGUGGGGGGUAUCGACCCCCUCCGUGCCGACGCUAACGCCAUAAGCAGCUCCCGCCUGGGGACUACGGUCCGGCAGGCUGAAACUCAAAGGAAUUGACGGGGGCCCGCACAAGCGGUGGAGUAUGUGGUUUAAUUCGACGCAACGCGAGGAACCUUACCAGGGCUUAAACCGCUGAGAAAACCCUGUGAAAGCAGGGCUGCCUUCGGGCGCUCAGUACAGGUGCUGCAUGGCUGUCGUCAGCUCGUGUCGUGAGAUGUUGGGUUAAGUCCCGCAACGAGCGCAACACCUGUUGCCAGUUACCAGCGCGUCAUGGCGGGGACUCUGGCAAGACUGCCUGCGCAAGCAGGAGGAAGGUGGGGAUGACGUCAAGUCCUCAUGGCCCUUACGUCCUGGGCUACACACGUACUAC
rnacentral:rRNA from 1 species